UACGUAGGGUGCGAGCGUUGUCCGGAAUUAUUGGGCGUAAAGAGCUCGUAGGCGGCCUGUCACGUCGGAUGUGAAAACCCGGGGCUCAACCCCGGGCCUGCAUCCGAUACGGGCAGGCUAGAGUGUGGUAGGGGAGAUCGGAAUUCCUGGUGUAGCGGUGAAAUGCGCAGAUAUCAGGAGGAACACCGGUGGCGAAGGCGGAUCUCUGGGCCGAUACUGACGCUGAGGAGCGAAAGCGUGGGGAGCGAACAGG
rnacentral:rRNA from 1 species